rnacentral:rRNA from 1 species
CCUACGGGAGACAGCAGUGAGGAAUAUUGGUCAAUGGGCGAGAGCCUGAACCAGCCAAGUCGCGUGAGGGAGUACUGCCCUAUGGGUUGUAAACCUCUUUUGUCGGGGAGCAAAAGCCGGACGUGUCCGGCUGUGAGAGUACCCGAAGAAAAAGCAUCGGCAAACUCCGUACGAGCAGCCGCGGUAAUACGGGGGAUGCGAGCGUUAUCCGGAUUUAUUGGGUUAAAGGGGGGCGCAGGCGGAUUUUUAAGUCAGCGGUCAAAUCGUGGGGCUAAACCCCAUCCAGCGGUUGAAACUGGGGAUCUUGAGUGUGCGAGAGGUAUGCGGAAUGCGUGGUGUAGCGGUGAAAUGCAUAGAUAUCACGCAGAACCCCGAUUGCGAAGGCAGCAUACCGGUGCACAACUGACGCUCAGGCACGAAAGCGUGGGUAUCGAACAGGAUUAGAUACCCGUGUAGUC